rnacentral:rRNA from 1 species
GCUGUCGUCAGCUCGUGUUGUGAAAUGUUGGGUUAAGUCCCGCAACGAGCGCAACCCUUAUCCUUUGUUGCCAGCGGUCCGGCCGGGAACUCAAAGGAGACUGCCAGUGAUAAACUGGAGGAAGGUGGGGAUGACGUCAAGUCAUCAUGGCCCUUACGACCAGGGCUACACACGUGCUACAAUGGCGCAUACAAAGAGAAGCGACCUCGCGAGAGCAAGCGGACCUCAUAAAGUGCGUCGUAGUCCGGAUUGGAGUCUGCAACUCGACUCCAUGAAGUCGGAAUCGCUAGUAAUCGUGGAUCAGAAUGCCACGGUGAAUACGUUCCCGGGCCUUGUACACACCGCCCGUCACACCAUGGGAGUGGGUUGCAAAAGAAGUAGGUAGCUUAACCUUCGGGAGGGCGCUUACCACUUUGUGAUUCAUGACUGGGGUGAAGUCGUAACAAGGUA